UUAAGAACAUCAUCUAUGGAAGAAGCGGGUUCUGGUCACACGGAGGGCAACAAUCAGUUUCUGUCUGCAAACCUAUACGGCGCCGCUGGAGAGAUAUACCGUCGCGCUGAAAGGCGAAAGCGCAUUUUGUGAUCGGCCUCGCUGUGCCAGGCGGAGUUUGUGGCAAAUUCAUAACACGCACCGGAAACUAUCCUGAGCGCUUGUUGCUUUUCACAUCCUUCCUCUUUCUAUAUUUGUUCGCGUGGUCCGCGGUGAACCAGUAUAGAAUUGAUCCUCAGGUGCUGACAAGAAUGGGUUCCAACAGCAGCCAGACUGAUGAGAAACUAUCCGUUACCCCUCCGUCAAGAGUUACAUUCUGCCAAAGAAAAAAGUCCAAGAAUGGCAGCUUUGUGUCUACUUUAAGAGAUAACUUUCAUGAAUUCAUCCAUGCUUCCAUGGAUGAACACAAGACAUGCCUGAGAAAUACAAUUCAAAAGUUACUUGGAGAAAAGAGUGACAGCCCCAGUGAAAAUGAAACAUCUCUACCACUUCAAUCAACUACAAAGGAUUAGAAGGUUUUCAACAAUAUUGAUUGUCAGAAGAUGAGUUGCUGACUUAUUUAAUUGUAUAUUGCAUCUUUUUUACUUUAGCAUUUCACUAGAUGAUUUCAGAAUUGUUAGUUAUGGUUCUUGACUUCACAUUUGAAGAAUUUUAUUCAGCGUCACUGGUAAGGUGACAAGCAUUUUCGAAUCCAGAUUUUGGAAUGUGAUGACUUUGAGGUGAUGCUUCUAUUUGUACUGAAUAUUAAAUGGGAUGCAUUGUUGUUUCACUUCGUGCCAUAUUGCCUUAUGGUGCCCCAUCCCUAUUUUCAUUAAUGUAGCGUUUUUUUGGCCAUGACAUUAAUGAAACAUCUUUGUCUUGUAA